rnacentral:lncRNA from 1 species
UUUUAUUGGUUGUUCAAAACAUUACAAAGCUCUUGACAUGUCAUAUUUCAUACAUUUGAUUCAAGUGGGUUAUGAAAUUUCUUUAAAUUAAAAGGACAGUUGUCCAUGAAGAAUUAAGGAGAAAAUAAUUGCUUGGUUUAUUGUUCCUCUUUUUUUUUUUGUUACAGGGAUUGAGCUUAACUACUGAGCCAAACCCCCAAUCCUUUUUUGUAUUUUAUUUGGAGACAGGAUCUCACUGAGUUGCUUAGGGCCUCAGCUUUCCGAGCUAUUAGGAUUACAGGCAUGCACAAGUGGUGCACAGCUGUUGUUCCUCUCUUAAAACAGCCAUACUAACAAUACCACUGUAUUUUAUGGGCUGCUUUUUUGUUUGUUUUUUACUGGGGAUUGAACCCAGGGGCACUGGAUCACAUCCCCAGCCCAGCCCUUUUUGGUUUUUUAUUUUGGGACAGGAUCUUAUUAAAUUGCCAAGUCUGCUAUCGAACUUGCAAUCCUCCUGCCUCAGCCUCCUGAGAUCCUAGGGUUAUAGGCAUGCACCACCACACCCAGCAGUCUAUUAUCUUUAAAACAAAAUUGAAUUUACAUUGCUGGUGUUUAAAGGUGGGUGCAGUAUGUAGUAACAUGGGGUGUCUGUGACUGACUGGUUUCAGUUCUCCAAUGGGGAGAAUGCCAGAAUGCCUUCCCCGCCUCCUCUGCCCCCCAGUAUUGGCAGUUGUACCCAGGGGUGCUCUACCACUAGUCACAUCCCCAA